rnacentral:rRNA from 1 species
AUUGAACGCUGGCGGCAUGCUUUACACAUGCAAGUCGAACGGUAACAGGCCUUCGGGUGCUGACGAGUGGCGAACGGGUGAGUAAUGCAUCGGAACGUACCCAGAGGUGGGGGAUAACGCAGCGCAAGCUGUGCUAAUACCGCAUGUGAUCUGAGGAUGAAAGCGGGGGACCGCGCAGCAAUGUUUGGCCUCGCGCCUUUGGAGCGGCCGAUGUCGGAUUAGCUAGUUGGUGGGGUAAAGGCCUACCAAGGCGACGAUCCGUAGCUGGUCUGAGAGGACGACCAGCCACACUGGGACUGAGACACGGCCCAGACUCCUACGGGAGGCAGCAGUGGGGAAUUUUGGACAAUGGGCGCAAGCCUGAUCCAGCAAUGCCGCGUGCGGGAAGAAGGCCUUCGGGUUGUAAACCGCUUUUGGCAGGAACGAAACGGUGUCCGCUAAUACCGGGCGCUAAUGACGGUACCUGCAGAAUAAGCACCGGCUAACUACGUG